rnacentral:rRNA from 1 species
UUUAAAUUUAGAGUUUGAUCCUGGCUCAGGACGAACGCUGGCGGCGUGCUUAACACAUGCAAGUCGAGCGAUGAAACUUCCUUCGGGAAGUGGAUUAGCGGCGGACGGGUGAGUAACACGUGGGUAACCUGCCUCAAAGUGGGGGAUAGCCUUCCGAAAGGAAGAUUAAUACCGCAUAAUAUAAGAGAAUCCCAUGAUUUUCUUAUCAAAGAUUUAUUGCUUUGAGAUGGACCCGCGGCGCAUUAGCUAGUUGGUAAGGUAACGGCUUACCAAGGCAACGAUGCGUAGCCGACCUGAGAGGGUGAUCGGCCACAUUGGAACUGAGACACGGUCCAGACUCCUACGGGAGGCAGCAGUGGGGAAUAUUGCGCAAUGGGGGAAACCCUGACGCAGCAACGCCGCGUGGGUGAUGAAGGUCUUCGGAUUGUAAAGCCCUGUUUUCUAGGACGAUAAUGACGGUACUAGAGGAGGAAGCCACGGCUAACUACGUG